GGUGGCCAGCAGCAGCAGAGGCUGGACAGACCUGCAGCCUCAGCGGGAGCGGGCGCUGGAGCUGGGGCCUUGCCUCCUUCAGUUGUUGAAGCCGCGAGCUGUGGGGUGAGUCGUGCGGCUCAGGAGAUGAGGGCACAGAGCUUACGGUGGCUGAGUAAAGCCGGAGGUGCCCGAGGCUGGGUCAAGAGCCUGGGGCCUGGGAGGGGUGAUGGGCGGAGAGCAGGUGGCCGAAGGGCGCUGCUGCUGGAGAGCCGCCAACAGGCUCCAUGGCCCCUUCCUGUGGCUGCCCCCCCCACUAGCCAAGCCCUCUCACAGGUGGAGGCCCAGUGGUUGGGUGGGGCAAGCUGUCACUGAGCCAGCGGCUGGACAGGGGUCCGUGCCAGGAAGCCCACUCCCCUCUGCACCCAGACAAGGGCACUGGACGUGGCCAGCCGCAGGCACCAGUGCUGGGGCCAGGCCUGGCGGAGGAAGCUGCUGACCCUCGGCUUGGGGGCCCACGGCUGGCCAGGCCCAGUGUUACCUCCAGGCUGACGGGGGCCAGGUCAUGGAGCCUGGGGAGCUCUGCCCGUGGCAGAAAGGGACCCUCCUCCACUCGGGCUGCCACUCGGUGGGCAGAUGGCAAAAAUGAGGGUGGGGCCUGGAGACCCCGGGCAGCAGCCCCUCCCCGCUCUCUGUCCCUUGGGGGGCAGCAGCUUUGCCCCUCCUUGUAUGACUGGGACAGCCCUCAGGUCCUGGCCUGGAGGCAGAGCUGAGAGGAGACCGGGAGGCCCUGGCAGACGGGAGCUGGGGCCAUGACCUCUCGCGGGCAGGGGUCUGGAGAGACGGUGUUCAGGUGACAGGGACGAACUGCAGCCAGCCAAGGACAGCCCUCCCCCGUGCUGGCUCUGACUCAGCCAGCCUGCCAGGGUGUGGAGUUCACCAGCAGAAGCAAGGCCCGGAAGGUGACCCAGGAUGUGUCCUGAGUCUCAGGGUCACCCUGGCACCCUGCAGCCUCCUCUGGCUGGCAAGCUGCGAUGUCCUUGUCCCUGCCCCAGCCCCACCCUGGGCCAUGCCAGGAGGAGGAGGCAGGUGUGGGGGCUCAGCCUUGUCCGCCCAUGUGCGGGGAUCCAUGUGGCAGCUGGGGCAUCCCACUGCACGGUGCAGGCUCCGGGGCACGAGGGUGGUCCCUUGAUGAAGGGAGGCAGUGCCUGGGCGCUGGGCUUGGGGCUGCGCAGCCUCCCCAUUUCCCCUCCGGCAGGAGCCUGCUCUCCCAGCGGACGCCAGCCCAGCUGCACCUCUACUCCUGCUCCUGCCAGCUCCCGGAGCCCCUGCCCGGCCAUCACCACAGACUGCUGGGCAGCCACACUCAGGAUUUCAGGUUCUGCUUGGCCUAGUUGCUACUCCCUGUUCACCUCCUCUCUGUGUGGCCAAGGCCAGGAGCCGGUCAGAGGCAAAGGAGAUGUCGAGGAACUGGAGGACUGUGAGCCAGGUCCUCCCUGAGGCCAGCAGAAAUAGGGACAAGAGUGGGGGAUAAGCAGAAUGGAUGUCCCCUUCUUCUGUGGACCGCAAAGUGCCUUUGGGGCUGCUUGGGUGUCACCUCUGAUGGCAUCUGGGUAUCCCACCAACUCAGACCCAGAGCUGGUCACUACAAGACUUGGCAGAUCCCACCCCUUGGGGAUAGCAGCUCCCCGGGCACAGCCCAGCGGGUGGGGCCCCUGGAGAGCCCCGUGAGCAGCUGUGUUUUUGUGGGACGUCUCUGUCGUAAGGGGGGUAGGUGGGGUGGGCCCGGCUCUACCUGGGCCUCUGUCCAGGAGUCCAGGGACAUUUUUUUGCCAGGUCCCAUGAGCACGUGUCUUGAGUCCACAUGUGUUCUGAGAACCACCAGAGCACCUGAGACUUCAUCUGUGGGCUCCCAGUGACGAGUAGAAAAUGCAGAAUCGAAACUAACACAGGUCCAGUGAUACCUGGUGAUGGUGACGGACACUGGUACCCCCUACCACGGGAGCGUGAUUCUCACACAAACAGGUGACCACAGUUACUGUCAUCCCACAGACAGGAGAACGAGGCCGAGAAGGACCACAGGUGCCCGCCCAGGGACAUGUAGUGGGAAACACCAGGGUGCCCAGGUCCCCAGAGCACGACCCUCAUCCCACUGUGCCUCCCCACGAGGCCCGUGCCCUUCCUUCAGGGGCUGGGUCUGACCGGGCUCCACAGCACUACAGACACGUUUGUCACUCAUGACCGUGUGCGGGGCUGAUGGCGGCUGUGCCAGCACGGGCUGCUGGCUCUCACUGGCCCCACCUGUUGGGACACACUAGACCCUGAAGCCUGCUGGGAACUGGCAAAGCCAGGACCCAGGGGCCAGAGGGGGUCUUCAAGGAGACUGGAGAGGACCCCGGGCCAGGGGUACACACGGGGUCACAGACCACGUGCAGGUCCACGGUGCUUGGACCCUGCCCACCUGCCACCCCAGGGCACUGCCCGCCUGCUACGGGGGCCUCCUCAGGCUCCUGGGAGGACUGAAGGGGCAGGAGGCAGGGGCAGGCGGCUGUCCCGUGGGCUCCAGCUCCCCUCUGGCUGGCCCUACUCGUCCUCUGCCCUCCCUCACUGCUCGUGUGAACAGGAGACAGUGGGGAGCAGCGGCCUGUGGAAUGGGGCUCCUUGCUCUCUUGGUGGGAUGCACUGAGGACCCGGGGGUGCAGGCCCAGGAGCAGGCUUCUCUGCCGUGGGGACAGAGAGUGGCAACGGCAGCCUCACUGUGAGCUGGCUGGGGCUGCCCACAGCGGGCAGGCAGGGAGAAAGCGGGACAGUGGGCAGAGACCCAGCAGGCCCCGGCAUGAGCCCAGGCUGCCUAGCAUCUCCCAGACAGACCCGACCAGGGGCCUUGGGGCAGAGGACAGCAGGGACCCAGGGGACCUCGUGUUCUCAGCUUGAGACUCAGCCACACCUUAGGAACUGGGGGUCCCCCGUGGUGACACGUGACCUGCUAGUUCUUCCAUCUUCCCAGAGUGGGUGGUGGCCUGAUCCCAGACUGGUGCCCAGUCCAAGGCAAUUGGGUUUCAUGUAGCCAGCCACAGGGCUCAGGCUUUGGGGGGCCCUCCUGUCCUCAAGCCUCAAGAGAGCAAGGAG
rnacentral:lncRNA from 1 species